AAUUGGAGGGCAAGUCUGGUGCCAGCAGCCGCGGUAAUUCCAGCUCCAAUAGCGUAUAUUAAAGUUGUUGCAGUUAAAAAGCUCGUAGUUGAAUUUCGGGGUUAGUAGGUUGGUCAUGCCUCUGGUAUGUACUGAUCUCACUGAUUCCUCCUUCCUUAUGAACCGUAAUGCCAUUAAUUUGGUGUUGCGGGGAAUUUGGACUGUUACUUUGAAAAAAUUAGAGUGUUUAAAGCAGGCUAACGCUUGAAUACAUUAGCAUGGAAUAAUGAAAUAGGACGUUCGAUCUUAUUUUGUUGGUUUCUAGGAUUGACGUAAUGAUUAAUAGGGAUAGUUGGGGGCAUUAGUAUUCAAUUGUCAGAGGUGAAAUUCUUGGAUUUAUUGAAGACUAACUACUGCGAAAGCAUUUGCCAAGGAUGUUUUCAUUAAUCAAGAACGAAAGUUAGGGGAUCGAAGACGAUCAGAUACCGUCGUAGUCUUAACCAUAAAUUAUGCCGACUAGGGAUCGGAUGAUGUUAAUUUUUUAAUGACUCAUUCGGCGCCUUACGGGAAACCAAAGUGU
rnacentral:rRNA from 1 species